CUGCUUUGGCAGCACAUAUACUAAAAUUGGAACAAUAUAGAGGAAAUUAACAAGGCCCCUGCACAAAGAUGACAUGCAACUUCAUGAAGUGUUCCAUGUUUUU